UUGGCGUACGUGCCAGGCGAGCAAUUCCUACAGGACUGAAUGGGCGCCAGUUUUAGUCCGGUAUCCAGCUCUCAUGCAGCUUUUAAUGUGACUAAGUUUAGACUUCCUUCUUUUUGUCACUGUGACUGACAGACUGACAGCUUGCCCACCCUAUCAGAUUCAUGAAAACUUCUUCUCUUACGGUACGUGACUGAAGUUAGGCUACAUCGCGUACGCACUGUCACAAUGCGGUUUUGUGUUGCUAGCAGCUAACUUAGAUGAAAGUCGGAAGCUAUGGUUAAGCAGCUAUGUUUGAGCCGCUUAAAAAAAAAACACGUCCAGAGGAUGAAGUAUGUUUGGACCAGGCCGUGCCUCAAGUGAAGUCGCAGCAGGAUGGUUGUGAGACCGUUUGUUUGCACCAAAUGCGGUGUAACAACAGAUCCAGAUGCACCUCACAUCAUCCAUGUUGACUGGACACUUCAACAACUCAACGUUUUUGUCUUUUGAAAGAGAACUAACUGACACUUCAGAUUACAAAGACAUAAUCAGCCUUUCCAACUCAAAGCCCAGAAGACUUCACCUUGUGUAUGAAUAGCAGCAGGUGCAGGCUGGGGAGAAUGUCUAGAUGACCACCCCCCCUACCACCACCACCACCACCAUCAUCAUCACCCUACUGCGCUCUGAAGCACCCUGCAGUGGGGCGUCCCGGUGAGGUGUCGGUCAAGAGGGCGGAGUUGGUGUCUGCAGGUCUUCCUUUCCGACUGCAUACAGCCCCGACAACCACCACGGAGAAGCCACUUUACCAGACAUGUUACUGUCUACAAACUGUCCUAACCAGAGACAUCUCGACUCUUCAGUGUUUCCUGUAAUGUUUGACGAACCACCAGUAAGAAUGACGUUCUGGUGGUGCACAGCAGCACAAUACUGACGUGUCAUCUAAUUUCAAAUCGCACUGUGCUACUACAGAAAGAGAAGAGAAGAAGAGAGAGCGCAAGGAUCGGACGGUAUGGAAGACAGCACCCUGCUGGCUGACUCACCUGCUGCCCUGUGGGAGGUAACUAGCUAGCAGCACUGCUAACCCACACAGCUAGUGAACUGUGAAACAACUGCAGUCAAAACAUCAAGCCGAUUAGACGCUAAUUACGUCUGCUGCCAUAUGGUGCUAACUGACCUGCGGACACCCAAAAACAUAGAAGUGUGUGUGUGUGUGUGUGUGUGUGUGUGUGUGUGUGUGUGUGUGUGUGUUUGUGUUUUUGUGUUGGUGGAAAUUAAAGACCUGUUCUGCCUCAACACUUGCUGCUAGUUAUUAGCCGAAGCUAAUUGAAUCCAUUAUAUUGAACCAGUUUUUGCAAGUGACCACACACACAGAUACACUCACAAGUGGCUUACAGACACUCAUCAGUGGAGAAAGCAGGUGAAUCUAGACAAAUUGGCGUUCCUCAAUGAUGACCCCAAACGCCAAAGAUACUUUAGGCUUCACUAGGCACGGAGACUCAGCCGAAGUCUAGUUGAAAUUAAUCUGCACUGACAACACAAGCGCGUCCCUCAUUGUUCCUAGGUAGAGAAAACACAGAUAAGAUGCUUUGAAGGUGCACCAAAAUGCAGCACAAAAUGUAAUGUUAAAAGCACAAUCUGUGAUCGAACCAAAACAUAACAGAACCACCCAUAUUUAAAACGUGGGACAGAAACAUGCUAUUACACUUGAAUUGAUUGACAAGUCUUGAAAACAUGGAAUAUAACUGAAUACAAAAGACAGUAGAGACAUUAUAUGAUUCCAGGCAGACACAAUUGGUUAUCGUUAGAUUUGGCAGAAAAGGCUUUGCUCUUUAGAGGAAGCUCUUAAAGAAUACAAAUAGCAACAGGAGAACUAAUCCCCCUUUAAUAAAUACGUUAAAUGUUUGGGGUUUUUUGCUUUUCCUCAUUUCCAGUCAAAUAUACAAUUUCACAAUGUCAGAUGUUCAUAUUAAACAUGGCCAAGGUGUCAAAUAAUGAGGUGAACGUAUGUAGCAGUUAUCCCUGUCAACAAAAAGCACCAACUUCAGACUGUUCUGAACGCUCAGUUUCCAACACUUUUUUCUACCUUCAGGCCAAGCCGACGUCAGCUCAUGACAGAUUCCUUUAUAUGGUCAUCUGCUACACACACAGCACGCAAGCUCACUGCUCCACUCUGCUAACAUUAUGGCAUUUUUCCAUUGUUUUGGGGGUAGUCACGCCAAGCUGCUGUGAGUGUUUAUCCAUUAUACAGCAGGGCAAAGUAAAAUAAGUUGUUUACCUGUUGUAGCUGGUCAUCUGCAGCUCUUAAUCAAACAUCACCAGCACUGUGGCUGAUUAUUCCUCUCUGCAUUAUUUGUAACUGAUCCGCUCAACAAAAAGCCCCAAAUAUCUCUAUAUCUUGUUGUGUUGACCGGUUUUUAGCGCCACUAACAAAGCUCUGCUAAUUCUGUGAAGAACGCGUUUCACUACCUCUAAAUUCUCCACAAUAAAAUUCAUCCAUUAUUUAGUCGUUUAAAAGCAGGAAAAUGUUGGGUUUUCAUCAGCAGUAACUUAACACAACUCUGAGGGGGGGGGGCUUAAAGAGACAGGAGCUAAAACUGUCUGUUGAAGGCUGAGCAUUCAGUGUAAAGUCAACAUAUGAAAAACUUAUAAUAGGGAGUAGUAUCAGGUUAGAAAAGCAAACAAGAUGCUCCAUUUAUGGUGGCCAGGGAAAGCAAUCCAUACUGUAUAUUAUUACUAUAAGAUGCCAACAGCAAAUGCACAUCACCAACAGUCACAUAUUAUUUUGCCAAAUGUACAAUAAAAAAGGUAUCACUCCUGAAAUAAAGUUACAUUUUGUAACCCUUUUUGACAUGUCCAUGCAUAUAAUAGCAGCAGCAGAAGCUCAAAAGGUUCUUGUGCUUCGCUAUACUUACCCCAGUUUAGCCCCAUGUUAUCUCAUGUGUUCUCUUAUAUGAGAGAAUCAGGACUCUUGUGGGGACCAAAAUGUUAGCUUGAAUCAGAGACCCUCCCAUUGGCAAUGCAGCAAAAUCAAGUAGACAAAGUCUGCAUAAUAUUCAAAUUUUCUUGAGGACACAAGUUGGGACACUGUUGGGUCAAAUCAAGGUUCUAGUGAG